rnacentral:rRNA from 1 species
CCGACGUGACAGGUGCUGCAUGGGCUGUCGUCAGCUCGUGUCGUGAGAUGUUGGGUUAAGUCCCGCAACGAGCGCAACCCUCGCCUUUAGUUGCCAGCAUUCAGUUGGGCACUCUAGAGGGACUGCCGGUGUCAAACCGGGAGGAGUGGGAUGACGUCAAGUCCUCAUGGCCUUUAUGUCUAGGGCUACACACGUACUACAAUGGCCGGUACAAAGGGCAGCCACUCAGCGAUGAGGCGCUAAUCCCAUAAAGCCGGUCUCAGUCCGGAUCGCAGUCUGCAACUCGACUGCGUGAAGUUGGAAUCGCUAGUAAUCGUAGAUCAGCAUGCUACGGUGAAUACGUUCCCGGGCCUU